rnacentral:rRNA from 1 species
CGUAGGGUGCGAGCGUUAAUCGGAAUUACUGGGCGUAAAGCGUGCGCAGGCGGUUUUGUAAGACAGGCGUGAAAUCCCCGGGCUCAACCUGGGAACUGCGCUUGUAACUGCAAGGCUAGAGUACGGCAGAGGGGGGUGGAAUUCCACGUGUAGCAGUGAAAUGCGUAGAGAUGUGGAGGAACACCAAUGGCGAAGGCAGCCCCCUGGGUCGAUACUGACGCUCAUGCACGAAAGCGUGGGUAGCAAACAGGAUUAGAUACCCUGGUAGUCCACGCCCUAAACGAUGUCAACUAGGUGUUGGGUGGGUAAAACCAUUUAGUACCGGAGCUAACGCGUGAAGUUGACCGCCUGGGGAGUACGGCCGCAAGGUUA